rnacentral:rRNA from 1 species
UCCGUAGGGGGCUAGCGUUGUCCGGAAUCAUUGGGCGUAAAGAGCGUGUAGGCGGCCCGGUAAGUCCGCUGUGAAAGUCGGGGGCUCAACCCUCGAAUGCCGGUGGAUACUGUCGGGCUAGAGUGCGGAAGAGGCGAGUGGAAUUCCUGGUGUAGCGGUGAAAUGCGCAGAUAUCAGGAGGAACACCAAUUGCGAAGGCAGCUCGCUGGGACGUAACUGACGCUGAGACGCGAAAGCGUGGGGAGCAAACAGG